rnacentral:rRNA from 1 species
GGGUUGUGAGGUUAAGCGACUAAGCGUACACGGUGGAUGCCCUGGCAGUCAGAGGCGAUGAAGGACGUGCUAAUCUGCGAUAAGCGUCGGUAAGGUGAUAUGAACCGUUAUAACCGGCGAUUUCCGAAUGGGGAAACCCAGUGUGAUUCGUCACACUAUCAUUAACUGAAUCCAUAGGUUAAUGAGGCGAACCGGGGGAACUGAAACAUCUAAGUACCCCGAGGAAAAGAAAUCAACCGAGAUUCCCCCAGUAGCGGCGAGCGAACGGGGAGCAGCCCAGAGCCUGAAUCAGUGUGUGUGUUAGUGGAAGCGUCUGGAAAGGCGCGCGAUACAGGGUGACAGCCCCGUACACAAAAAUGCACAUGCUGUGAGCUCGAUGAGUAGGGCGGGACACGUGGUAUCCUGUCUGAAUAUGGGGGGACCAUCCUCCAAGGCUAAAUACUCCUGACUGACCGAUAGUGAACCAGUACCGUGAGGGAAAGGCGAAAAGAACCCCGGCGAGGGGAGUGAAAAAGAACCUGAAACCGUGUACGUACAAGCAGUGGGAGCACGCUUAGGCGUGUGACUGCGUACCUUUUGUAUAAUGGGUCAGCGACUUAUAUUCUGUAGCAAGGUUAACCGAAUAGGGGAGCCGAAGGGAAACCGAGUCUUAACUGGGCGUUAAGUUGCAGGGUAUAGACCCGAAACCCGGUGAUCUAGCCAUGGGCAGGUUGAAGGUUGGGUAACACUAACUGGAGGACCGAACCGACUAAUGUUGAAAAAUUAGCGGAUGACUUGUGGCUGGGGGUGAAAGGCCAAUCAAACCGGGAGAUAGCUGGUUCUCCCCGAAAGCUAUUUAGGUAGCGCCUCGUGAAUUCAUCUCCGGGGGUAGAGCACUGUUUCGGCAAGGGGGUCAUCCCGACUUACCAACCCGAUGCAAACUGCGAAUACCGGAGAAUGUUAUCACGGGAGACACACGGCGGGUGCUAACGUCCGUCGUGAAGAGGGAAACAACCCAGACCGCCAGCUAAGGUCCCAAAGUCAUGGUUAAGUGGGAAACGAUGUGGGAAGGCCCAGACAGCCAGGAUGUUGGCUUAGAAGCAGCCAUCAUUUAAAGAAAGCGUAAUAGCUCACUGGUCGAGUCGGCCUGCGCGGAAGAUGUAACGGGGCUAAACCAUGCACCGAAGCUGCGGCAGCGACGCUGAUGCGUUGUUGGGUAGGGGAGCGUUCUGUAAGCCUGCGAAGGUGUGCUGUGAGGCAUGCUGGAGGUAUCAGAAGUGCGAAUGCUGACAUAAGUAACGAUAAAGCGGGUGAAAAGCCCGCUCGCCGGAAGACCAAGGGUUCCUGUCCAACGUUAAUCGGGGCAGGGUGAGUCGACCCCUAAGGCGAGGCCGAAAGGCGUAGUCGAUGGGAAACAGGUUAAUAUUCCUGUACUUGGUGUUACUGCGAAGGGGGGACGGAGAAGGCUAUGUUGGCCGGGCGACGGUUGUCCCGGUUUAAGCGUGUAGGCUGGUUUUCCAGGCAAAUCCGGAAAACUAAGGCUGAGGCGUGAUGACGAGGCACUACGGUGCUGAAGCAACAAAUGCCCUGCUUCCAGGAAAAGCCUCUAAGCAUCAGGUAACAUCAAAUCGUACCCCAAACCGACACAGGUGGUCAGGUAGAGAAUACCAAGGCGCUUGAGAGAACUCGGGUGAAGGAACUAGGCAAAAUGGUGCCGUAACUUCGGGAGAAGGCACGCUGAUAUGUAGGUGAAGCGACUUGCUCGUGGAGCUGAAAUCAGUCGAAGAUACCAGCUGGCUGCAACUGUUUAUUAAAAACACAGCACUGUGCAAACACGAAAGUGGACGUAUACGGUGUGACGCCUGCCCGGUGCCGGAAGGUUAAUUGAUGGGGUCAGCGCAAGCGAAGCUCUUGAUCGAAGCCCCGGUAAACGGCGGCCGUAACUAUAACGGUCCUAAGGUAGCGAAAUUCCUUGUCGGGUAAGUUCCGACCUGCACGAAUGGCGUAAUGAUGGCCAGGCUGUCUCCACCCGAGACUCAGUGAAAUUGAACUCGCUGUGAAGAUGCAGUGUACCCGCGGCAAGACGGAAAGACCCCGUGAACCUUUACUAUAGCUUGACACUGAACAUUGAGCCUUGAUGUGUAGGAUAGGUGGGAGGCUUUGAAGUGUGGACGCCAGUCUGCAUGGAGCCGACCUUGAAAUACCACCCUUUAAUGUUUGAUGUUCUAACGUGGACCCGUGAUCCGGGUUGCGGACAGUGUCUGGUGGGUAGUUUGACUGGGGCGGUCUCCUCCUAAAGAGUAACGGAGGAGCACGAAGGUUGGCUAAUCCUGGUCGGACAUCAGGAGGUUAGUGCAAUGGCAUAAGCCAGCUUGACUGCGAGCGUGACGGCGCGAGCAGGUGCGAAAGCAGGUCAUAGUGAUCCGGUGGUUCUGAAUGGAAGGGCCAUCGCUCAACGGAUAAAAGGUACUCCGGGGAUAACAGGCUGAUACCGCCCAAGAGUUCAUAUCGACGGCGGUGUUUGGCACCUCGAUGUCGGCUCAUCACAUCCUGGGGCUGAAGUAGGUCCCAAGGGUAUGGCUGUUCGCCAUUUAAAGUGGUACGCGAGCUGGGUUUAGAACGUCGUGAGACAGUUCGGUCCCUAUCUGCCGUGGGCGCUGGAGAACUGAGGGGGGCUGCUCCUAGUACGAGAGGACCGGAGUGGACGCAUCACUGGUGUUCGGGUUGUCAUGCCAAUGGCACUGCCCGGUAGCUAAAUGCGGAAGAGAUAAGUGCUGAAAGCAUCUAAGCACGAAACUUGCCCCGAGAUGAGUUCUCCCUGACUCCUUGAGAGUCCUGAAGGAACGUUGAAGACGACGACGUUGAUAGGCCGGGUGUGUAAGCGCAGCGAUGCGUUGAGCUAACCGGUACUAAUGAACCGUGAGGCUUAACCUUACAACGCCGAAGGUGUUU